CGGGCCUGCGCCCCCACCUAUAAAGGUGGCUUUGCCCAGCGGCUUGCGGCUUGUUCCAUCGAAUGACACAUAUGCAACGCCUGACGUUGACAUGACGAUACGCAAAACGAUGGGAAUACUUUUGCUGUUGCUGGUCCACUUGGCGGCUGUUACAGCACAAGAGGGUAGUCCUUCAGAACUACAAAACGAGCCACCAAAGGAAGUUGUGCCUGCGGGAGAUGCAGCUGCAGCAGAAGCGCCUGCAGGAGAUGCUGCUGCAGCAGAAGCGCCUGCGGCAGAUGCGGCUGCAACAGAGGCGCCUGCGGGAGAUGCAGCUACAGCAGAAGCGCCUGCCGGAGACGCGCCUGCAGCAGAGGAGCCUGCGGGAGAUGCUGCUGCAACAGAGGCGCCUACGGGAGAUGCAGCUACAGCAGAAGCGCCUGCGGGAGAUGCGCCUGCAGCAGAGGUGCCUGCGGGAGAUGCAGCUGCAGCAGAAGCGCCUGCCGGAGAUGCGGCUGCAGCAGAAGCGCCUGCGGGAGAUGAGGCUGCAGCAGAGGCGCCUGCUGGAGAUGCAGCUACAGCAGAAGCGCCUGCGGGAGAUGCGCCUGCAGCAGAGGUGCCUGCGGGAGAUGCGGCUGCAGCAGAGGCGCCUGCUGGAGAUGCAGCUACAGCAGAAGCGCCUGCCGGAGAUGCGCCUGCAGCAGAGGCGCCUGCUGGAGAUGCGGCUGCAGCAGAGGCGCCUGCCGGAGAUGCGCCUGCAGCAGAGGCGCCUGCUGGAGAUGCGGCUGCAGCAGAGGCGCCUGCUGGAGAUGCAGCUACAGCAGAAGCGCCUGCUGGAGAUGCAGCUACAGCAGAAGCGCCUGCCGGAGAUUCGCCUGCAGCAGAAGCGCCUGCAGGAGAUGCAGCUGAACUAGAAACGCCAGUGGGAGAUGUAUUUGAAGAAGAGGCGCCGGCGGGAGAUGCAGCGGGCAACUCGCCUGCGGGAGAAGAACCUUCGGAGGCAGAGGAAGAGACCGGAACAGACGAUGCAACAGAUGACGAGGCAGGUGCCAACGGAAUGGACGAGGAGGUAGUAACGGAGUCUACGGAGUCUACGCCGCCGACCACAAUCGGUGCGAACGAUCCGAACACUCCAGGGACGAAUCCCAGUCCACCCACUGUACCCCCCACCACCACUGGCUUAAUGGAUCUGAUGACCUACUUACCGGAGUAUAAUAAUGGCGGGGAUCCGUAUGUGAGUCCGGGGCCCUCCCACAAGCCCGGCUCCCGUCACGUGAAGGCGCACGAUGGCUUCCACAGCUUGAAAACGGAAAAGUACUGGUCGCACUGGAACGAUCGCUUCACCACAGACAACGAUAUUCUUCAGUGAACGGACACCCGGAAUGCGGCGGCGAGAAGUUUAAAGAUUACUCAGCGCUCGGGUGCGGUGGCAUGACAAAUUAAAUUAGACAGACUCGUAUCGUAUCCGAAAUGAAGUGAACUGUGGUUGUUUUUUCACUCGUAGACCACUGUCGUUGGGAACAGCAUACGGUUUCAUUUGUUUAUGUGUUUAUUUGCUGGGUAAGAGAGGAAAGGAAGAUAGGAAGGAUAUACUUGGCCACGGGGAAAAGAAUUAGCCAAUGAUAGAGAAGGUCCGAUAUGCAUGUCGCGGGUAUCUGUAUAAUUAUAAGAAAUGUAAUCCACUGAUAUUCAACAUCGGCGUGGAAUAAGCCACAAGCUAAGUAACCAUUCUGCAUCAGUCAUCGAAUCAGAAACACCUGGGGGUGUGUUGGUGGGGUAGCGGCAUGACAAAUUAAAUUGAUUGGAAACGUAGACGAAAUAAAUGUGAAAUACGCUUCAAUUGUCACUCGAAAACGGUUGUUAUUGGGAACAUCAUGCGUUUGUGCCUAUUUUAUUUGAUUACGUUUUUCCUGUUCCUGGGCGUACAGGCAGAAACUGGUGAAAAUGGAGGCGAUCAAAUGGCUAAAGAACGAAGAGAAGGAGUAGCGAACUUGUGGAAAAGAUGGCACUACCAAAUGGAAAAGCACGGAUAUACUCUUCCUUUUAGUACUGUCAAUAAAGAUAGUACUGCUGCUUCUGAGUCUGUUACUGCUGCUGCUGCUGCUGCUGCUGAUACUACUACUGCUGCUGCAUAAUAGUUAGAGAAGGUCCGAUCUGCAUGCUAUCUGUAGAACAAGAUCAUUUACUAUCCAAUAAAUGCAUUGAAAGCGCCUUUGAAUACAAUGGGAA